UACUGGGGAGUGAGCUGUGUGUACUGGAGUGUAGAUCUCACUGGUGACAUGGAUACUGGGGAGUGAGCCGUGUGUACUGGAGUGCGGAUCUCACUGGUGAUAUGGACACUGGGGAGUGAGCUGUGUGUACUGGAUGCGGAUCUCACUGGUGACAUGGAUACUGGGGA